GCCGGCGUAGCUCAGGUGGUUAGAGCGAAGGACUCAUAAACCUUAGGUCGCAGGUUCGACUCCUGCCGUCGGCA
rnacentral:tRNA from 1 species